rnacentral:rRNA from 1 species
UGCAAGUCGAACGCACUUUCGUUGAAUGAAUUAGAGGUGCUUGCACCGAAGAUGAUUUUAGCUAUAAAGUGAGUGGCGAACGGGUGAGUAACACGUGGGUAACCUGCCCAGAAGUGGGGGAUAACACCUGGAAACAGAUGCUAAUACCGCAUAACAAAGUAAACCGCAUGGUUUACUUUUAAAAGAUGGCUUCGGCUAUCACUUCUGGAUGGACCCGCGGCGUAUUAGCUAGUUGGUGAGAUAAAGGCUCACCAAGGCAGUGAUACGUAGCCGACCUGAGAGGGUAAUCGGCCACAUUGGGACUGAGACACGGCCCAGACUCCUACGGGAGGCAGCAGUAGGGAAUCUUCCACAAUGGACGAAAGUCUGAUGGAGCAACGCCGCGUGAGUGAUGAAGGCUUUAGGGUCGUAAAACUCUGUUGUUGGAGAAGAACGUGUGUGAGAGUAACUGCUAUGCAGUGACGGUAUCCAACCAGAAAGCCACGGCUAACUACGUGCCAGCAGCCGCGGUAAUACGUAGGUGGCAAGCGUUAUCCGGAUUUAUUGGGCGUAAAGCGAGCGCAGGCGGUCUUUUAAGUCUAAUGUGAAAGCCUUCGGCUUAACCGAAGAAGUGCAUUGGAAACUGGAAGACUUGAGUGCAGAAGAGGACAGUGGAACUCCAUGUGUAGCGGUGAAAUGCGUAGAUAUAUGGAAGAACACCAGUGGCGAAGGCGGCUGUCUGGUCUGUAACUGACGCUGAGGCUCGAAAGCAUGGGUAGCGAACAGGAUUAGAUACCCUGGUAGUCCAUGCCGUAAACGAUGAAUGCUAAGUGUUGGAGGGUUUCCGCCCUUCAGUGCUGCAGCUAACGCAUUAAGCAUUCCG